rnacentral:snRNA from 1 species
GCCUUUAUCUUGAUGCUUAUCCAAAAUUGGAACGAUAUAGAGAAGAUUGGCAUGGCCCCUGCGCAA